ACCUGCAUCGAAAGUGAUUGUGGUUUGAUCAGUGACCCGGUCAUUGAUACUGCAGGGAAAGCAUAUGAAAGAUAUUCCCGUGUUUGGUUGUCGCAUGUACAUCCCAAACCCUGUUCCUUUCAAACA